UGCUAUUUGCUAUUGUAGGUGUGGGACCGUGAAAAAGUAGUUAUCAUUCCUGAUCAUUAUAUCUUCACAACUGAUGAACGAGCAAAUCGCAAUAUAGACAUCUUGAGGGAUUUCUGUAAUGAGCAAAAUAUUAAGUACUUCUACGAUAUUAAAGAUCUCGGAAAUUUCAAGGCUAAUCCUGAUUACAAAGGUGUCUGCCAUGUGGCUCUUGCCCAAGAAGGCCAUUGCCGACCUGGAGAGGUCCUACUGGGUACCGACUCUCACACAUGUACUGCUGGAGCAUUUGGUCAGUUUGCUACUGGAAUUGGAAACACCGAUGCUGGUUUCGUGUUGGGCACUGGAAAGCUUUUGCUUAAGGU